UACGUAGGGUGCAAGCGUUGUCCGGAAUUAUUGGGCGUAAAGAGCUCGUAGGUGGCCUGUCGCGUCGGCUGUGAAAACUCGGGGCUCAACUCCGAGCUUGCAGUCGAUACGGGCAGGCUAGAGUUCGGCAGGGGAGACUGGAAUUCCUGGUGUAGCGGUGAAAUGCGCAGAUAUCAGGAGGAACACCGGUGGCGAAGGCGGGUCUCUGGGCCGAUACUGACACUGAGGAGCGAAGGCGUGGGGAGCGAACAGG
rnacentral:rRNA from 1 species